rnacentral:SRP_RNA from 1 species
AUUCAGGAGCCGUGCGGGUAUGUGCCGCCCAACCCCGCCAGGUCCGGAAGGAAGCAACGGUAAGCGGACGCAUACGGCGCCGCGGAUUUCUUGGAUACG